GGCCUCAGUGCGUCCUACUUGUGUCGUGUUUUAAGUCUGCCUUGCUCCAUCUACCAUUCCUCACAAUCCAUUUCUUGUAUGCCCGCUGCUUCGUAAAAAAUGACUUACUAAAUUAUUGAGUAAGCUUCCCGGUUUUAGGAAUUAUUCCCUUUUGUAGGUGGACCCCGCCUUGGAUUUCAAUCCGAGAUCAUCCCUUUUGGGGUUAUGGUUAGUUGAUCUCUCGCUUAGUUUAUUCCAUUUACUUCCACUCUUACUAAGACAUCUGCCUUGUCGAUUUGACUAUAAAAGGGGACUUUAGAGGCUUACCGACGACGAAGAAAGGACUUGCGCGGUCCGAUGGCUCUUAUACUGGUGUGCCUUCAAAUGUUAUUGAGAAAUGUUUUUGCAAAAAGAGGUCGCCUCUCUCAAGUUUGAGAAUCCUAUAUUGCUGCUCUGCUCGGUAGUGGCCUAAGGCUCAAUGAUGGAUCUUCUGCGCUAAGGCUAGCUCCCAUCUGAAAUCUUCUUGCUUUGAGCUCUCUUCGGUAAAGUGUAAAAGUGUUAACCAGCUGCUCUGCUCC
rnacentral:lncRNA from 1 species